rnacentral:lncRNA from 1 species
GAUUUCCAAUUUAAAUUAAAAGACGACCUUGUGCUCGGGAAUUCAUGGUAUUGUGUCCUAACUUACGGGAUGUGAUACUCCGAUAUCUCGAGAUAAGGAAAUCUUUAAACAAAUCGAUUUAAGCUAAUUCAAGAAUUUUAAAAUCAGUAUUAAUAGAAAAGAUCGUAUUUCAAGUCCCUUCUCGAUUUUUAAUUUUCGACAUUAAGACACU